AACGAACGCUGGCGGCAUGCCUAACACAUGCAAGUCGAACGAGACCUUCGGGUCUAGUGGCGCACGGGUGCGUAACGCGUGGGAACCUGCCCUUAGGUUCGGAAUAACUCCCCGAAAGGGGUGCUAAUACCGGAUAAUGUCUUCGGACCAAAGAUUUAUCGCCUUUGGAUGGGCCCGCGUUGGAUUAGCUAGUUGGUAGGGUAAAAGCCUACCAAGGCGACGAUCCAUAGCUGGUCUGAGAGGAUGAUCAGCCACACUGGGACUGAGACACGGCCCAGACUCCUACGGGAGGCAGCGGGGGGGAAUAUUGAAAAAUGGGCGAAGGCCUGAUCCCCCAUUGCCGCGUGAGUGUUGAGGCCCUGGGGGUUGAAAACCUCCUUUCCCCGGGAUGAUAAUGACAGUCCGGGGAGAAUAAGCCCCGCCUAACCCCGUC
rnacentral:rRNA from 1 species